UCGAGCGGGGUGUAGCAAUACACCUAGCGGCGGACGGGUGAGCAAUACAUAGGAAUCUACCUUUUAGUGGGGGAUAGCCCGGGGAAACCCGGAUUAAUACCGCAUGAUGUCGCAAGACCAAAGCGGGGGACCGCAAGGCCUCGCGCUGAAAGAUGAGCCUAUGUCUGAUUAGCUAGUUGGCGGGGUAAAAGCCCACCAAGGCGACGAUCAGUAGCUGGUUUGAGAGAACGAUCAGCCACACCGGAACUGAGACACGGUCCGGACUCCUACGGGAGGCAGCAGUGGGGAAUAUUGGACAAUGGGCGAAAGCCUGAUCCAGCAAUUCCGCGUGUGUGAAGAAGGCCUUCGGGUUGUAAAGCACUUUAGGCAGGGAAGAAAAAAUCGGAGUGAAUAACUCCGGUCUUGACGGUACCUGAGAAAUAAGCACCGGCUAACUCUGUGCCAGCAGCCGCGGUAAUACAGAGGGUGCAAGCGUUAAUCGGAUUUACUGGGCGUAAAGCGUGCGUAGGCGGUUCGCUAAGUCGGUUGUGAAAUCCCUGGGCUUAACCUGGGAACUGCAGUCGAUACUGGUGGACUAGAGUACGGUAGAGGGUGGCGGAACUCCGGGUGUAGCGGUGAAAUGCGUAGAUAUCCGGAAGAACACCGAUGGCGAAGGCAACCACCUGGGCCUGUACUGACGCUGAGGUACGAAAGCGUGGGGAGCAAACAGGAUUAGAUACCCUGGUAGUCCACGCUGU
rnacentral:rRNA from 1 species